rnacentral:lncRNA from 1 species
GUAAUAUCGGUGGUUUCCUCGGCUUUUUCUCCAUUGUCGUUUUCUCCUCAGGUUUUUUCUUUCCCUUGACCCUUACACCUUCUUGUGAACUUGAGAUUGAUGCUGAGGCUGGGCAUGCUUGCUUGGUGUUCAAGGUUGUUGUCCGGGCAGCCUUGGAGACCUCUUUUGCAGUAAGCAGAGAAGACCCAGAUGACGGGUGGCCUCGAGGAGGCAGCCUCGCUGUGCGACCAGUGGUACUAGGAAGUGGCGAACCAUUCCCAUCUUGCCGGCGCUCAGGUUUGUAGGCGAAUUGGGCAAAAAAUGCACCAAAAGGUGAACAAUAAUUGGGGUCCUGAUCAAUGAAAUCGGGAUUAGCUAUGGGAGGGAAAAAGCCUUGGGGCAGUGUCUGCUGCUUCUUCAAAACCUUGGAAUUCUUGCUGCGGUUGAUCCUCUUGACACACUGUCUGCCCAUGACGCCACCAGCAGCAGCUUCUUCCCCUGCCCUUGAAUAGACAUCAUUGAGAAAUGGUGUUUCGCCAGAUUGCUCCUGCUCCACCUUCCGCCGCCUAUGUUUCUUCCUUACCGUCGCACCCUCUGUCAUCACCUUCUUUUCCAUCUGCGUGAUUUGUGCCACAGCAGCAGUGGGCACCGAUGGUAUAAUCAUUGCAGCCUCCCUAUCCUUCCUUUUCUUGUGCCUCUUUUCUACCUUCGGCACAGGGUCCUCAAUUAAUGGAGCUGCCGGCAGCGCCUCCUGAUUCUCCCUCUUGCGCUCCUUAUCCUGCAUCACUGUCGCUGCUGUCAUCGCCGAGGUUAGGGUUUCGGGAGCGACUGGGACUGAGGAAGCAGACAUGGAUUCCAGUAUUGCCAAAUGUCGGGGAGACUCCCUCGCUGCCAUCUCCCUUGUCAUCUUCUUCUCAGGCUUUUCUUUCCCUUCGAUCCUUGCCUCUUCUUGUGAAUCUGAGGUUGAUUCUGAGGCUGGGCAUGGUUGCUUGGUGUUCAAGGUUGUUGUCCGGGCAGCCUUGGAGACCUCUUUUGCAGUAAGCAGAGAAGACCCAGAUAACGGGUGGCCUCGAGGAGGCAGCCUCGCUGUGCGACCAGUGGUACUAGGAAGUGGCGAACCAUUCCCAUCUUGCCGGCGCUCAG